GCUAGUCCCGAUGUCUUGGUUAUCUCUUGUGUAUCCAGCACCCAAGGGAAGGAGCAUCCCAUGGCUACAACUCUCAAGCAUCGAAAUGGAACCUGUGAGAGUUCUUCACCCCACAGGGAACUCCUUCCACCAAACUUAGGGGAGCGAGAAAGGGGUUGUAAGGACUUGCCUUUGUAUCUCCCCAGCCCCUGCACAGGGCUGGAUUUGCAUAUGUUAAUAUGGAGAACUGCAACUAUUUAAUGAGAAGCAGUGGGCCACGUGGAUGGAUUUUUCUCCCCAGAACAUCCCUGGGAAUCAUUUCUGUCAGAUGCUUCACUGGAUGUCCCUUGGUCUUUACAGCCAUCUAUCCUCCUUCUCCAACCCCCACCUCGAAUUGCAACUUGCUAUUUUAAUUAUAG
rnacentral:lncRNA from 1 species